UACGUAGGGUGCGAGCGUUGUCCGGAAUUAUUGGGCGUAAAGAGCUUGUAGGCGGUUUGUCGCGUCGUCUGUGAAAUCCCGGGGCUUAACUUCGGGCGUGCAGGCGAUACGGGCAUAACUUGAGUGCUGUAGGGGAGACUGGAAUUCCUGGUGUAGCGGUGAAAUGCGCAGAUAUCAGGAGGAACACCGAUGGCGAAGGCAGGUCUCUGGGCAGUUACUGACGCUGAGGAGCGAAAGCAUGGGUAGCGAACAGGAUUAGAUA
rnacentral:rRNA from 1 species